rnacentral:rRNA from 1 species
UACGUAGGGUGCAAGCGUUAAUCGGAAUUACUGGGCGUAAAGCGUGCGCAGGCGGUUUUGUAAGUCUGUCGUGAAAUCCCCGGGCUCAACCUGGGAAUUGCGAUGGAGACUGCAAGGCUAGAAUCUGGCAGAGGGGGGUAGAAUUCCACGUGUAGCAGUGAAAUGCGUAGAGAUGUGGAGGAACACCGAUGGCGAAGGCAGCCCCCUGGGUCAAGAUUGACGCUCAUGCACGGAAAGCGUGGGGAGCAAACGAGG